GUUUUUCGCCCAGGCGGAGCUCGACCGCCGACCGAAGUGAUGGCCGCGUUCAUCGAUGCGCACCGGGAUGCGUACGGGGUCGAGUCGAUCUGCGCCGUGUUGCCGAUCGCCCC
rnacentral:ncRNA from 1 species